UGGCUUGAAGCUCGGUCACCCAAAACCCUAAAUAUCUCUUCCCUCUGCCAACAAUCCCUCCCUUCAUUUUUCUUUCCCUUUCUCUCUCUAGUCGCGGCCACCUCCCACUUCUCUCUAAACUUUUCCCUCCGUUGGUCGCUUUCUCCUUUUCUCUAUCCUCCCCUGCCACCGGUGGCUUGAAGCUCUGUCACCCAAACCCUAAAUAUCUCUUCCCUCCACUGACAAUCCUUAGAUCUGACAUAAAAAAAACUUGAAUCUUUCUCUCCUCUUUGCCGACGGGUUCUUGAUCGGUGCAAAGAGCUUCGAUUUCUCCUUUCUUUUUGGUCCUUAUCUGUUCCCCUUUAGUUUUUUAUUUAAUUUUAUUAUUUUUAAUUAAUUUUGUUUAAUUUUCAUUUUUAUUAUAUUAUUUGAUUAUUUUAUUUAUUUAUUGAUUAAUUUUUAUUAUAUACAUUUGUUUGUGUAAUAGGUGUCUACACUAACUUUUUUGGUGAGUUCUUGGACCGGAUCUGAGCCUAUUUGCCGAGCGUGGAGUUUUGGUUUUGCCGAGCAUAGACCGUUGUUGCUGUCGAUCUCCGUGCAUUGCUCAUUUUUUUUGGUGAGUGCUUGGACGGGAUCUUGUUGCUAAGCCUAUGUACAUGCUAUGUAAUUGAAGUUUGUUUAUGAAUGAAUUUCAAAA
rnacentral:lncRNA from 1 species